rnacentral:rRNA from 1 species
UACGAAAGGGAUUAGCGUCAUUCAUAUUGAAUGGGUGUAAAGGGUAUGUAGGCGGUAUCAUAAAUGUAAUACUAAAAAAAGAUAAAAAAUAAUCUUAUAAGUAAAAAUUAUUCAAAAUGAUAGCCUCCCAAAGGGGAGGCAAGUUUUUGACUUAACUAGAGUGAAAUAGAGGAAAGAGGAAUUUCAAAUGGAAGGAUGAAAUCUUUUGAUAUUUUGAAGGAACUCUAAAAGCGAAGGCUUCUUUCCAAAUUAAUCACUGACUGCUAAGAUACGAAAAGUGUGGGAUAGCAAAAGGGAU